AUUGCUUCUCUGCCUUUUUAUAAGAUUAAGUGUAGUAUCUGUUCUUGUCAGUUUAAUAUCUGAUACGUCCCUAUCUUGGGACCAUAUAUUAAAUUGGAUUUUUGAGAACGGGGGCCGAUUUUGAAGCUUGCUUCCGUUGCAAUAUGCAUUGACCUGAUGUGAAACUAGUAUGUGUAAAUGUAAGUGCAUUUCAA